rnacentral:rRNA from 1 species
CGCGUGGGAAUAUACCCUUCUCUAAGGAAUAGCCUCGGGAAACUGAGAGUAAUACCUUAUACGCCUUCGGGAAGAUUAUCGAGAAGGAUAGCCGCGUAAGAUUAGAUAGUUGGUGGGGUAAGUGGCCUACCAAGUCUACGAUCUUUAGCUGGUUUGAGAGGAUGAUCAGCAACACUGGGACUGAGACACGGCCCAGACUCCUACGGGAGGCAGCAGUGGGGAAUAUUGGACAAUGGGGGAAACCCUGAUCCAGCGACGCCGCGUGUGUGAAGAAGGCCUGCGGGUUGUAAAGCACUUUUA